rnacentral:lncRNA from 1 species
CACUUGAAUGCAUGAAAUUCCAGAUUAGGGUUUUGAAUUUCCCCAAUUCUGCCUGGCACUGUUCAUCAUAGUUAGAGGCCGAAUUGGCCUUAGCACAAAACAUGAAAGUUGUAUAGAAUGAUGUUCUAUAGUUGCCUGCAAAAUUUCAGCUCAAUCCGAGUUCGGUAGCCUGUGAAAGGACCAAAAUACCCCUGCUGCCCUGUUUCUGUCCGAACCUGGAAAUCAGCUUUGGUAAUUGGUUAGUUUGACUGGGAAUACUACUGAUUUGGUUGUUGAUGUCUUCUUACGAAUUCUAGCCUUGUAUCUUAGCUUUUAAAUGGCUUUGGAAUUACUUGAUUUGGAGUUGUGUGUGCUGAGUUAU